UACUUUGGUGGAGUAAUAGCAACAGUACGUCAAGUAUUUUGCUCUCUCAACGCCAAGUAGUGUAUUUAUGCGGAAAAAUAGUAACAAUGUGUUGUCAGUAGAGUACAAUGCAAAGAGUACUUACUGAACGUAAUGCGGUAAAUAUACUUGCGCUGG